rnacentral:rRNA from 1 species
CAAUAGCGUAUAUUUAAGUUGCUGCAGUUAAAAAGCUCGUAGUUGGAUUUCGGGUGGGAAUGGCCGGUCCGCCGUUUCGGUGUGCACUUGCUACGCCCACCUUGCUGCCGGGGACGUGCUCUUGAGUUCACGCUCGGGACACGGAGUCGGCGAGGUUACUUUGAGUAAAUUAGAGUGUUCAAAGCAGGCCUACGCUCUGAAUACAUUAGCAUGGAAUAACACGAUAGGACUCUGGCCUAUCUUGUUGGUCUGUAGGACCGGAGUAAUGAUUAAGAGGGACAGUCGGGGGCAUUCGUAUUUCAUUGUCAGAGGUGAAAUUCUUAGAUUGACGAAAGACAAACUGCUGCGAAAGCGUCUGCCAAGGAUGUUUUCAUUGA